GAUGAACGCUGGCGGCGUGCUUAACACAUGCAAGUCGAACGAGAAUCAACGGAUUGAGGAUUCGUCCAAAUGAAGUUGAGGAAAGUGGCGGACGGGUGAGUAACGCGUGAGGAACCUGCCUCGGAGUGGGGAAUAACAGUUGGAAACAGCUGCUAAUACCGCAUAAUGCAACGGAAUCGCAUGACUCUGUUGCCAAAGAUUUAUCGCUCUGAGAUGGCCUCGCGUCUGAUUAGCUAGAUGGCGGGGUAACGGCCCACCAUGGCGACGAUCGGUAGCCGGACUGAGAGGUUGAUCGGCCACAUUGGGACUGAGACACGGCCCAG
rnacentral:rRNA from 1 species